GAUUAACGCUAGCGGCAGGCAUAAUACAUGCAAGUUGAACGGCAGCACAGGUAGCAAUAUUGGGUGGCGAGUGGCGCACGGGUGCGUAACACGUAUGCAACCUACCCUAUACAGGCGAAUAACCUUUAGAAAUGAGGGCUAAUACGCCGUAGUAUUACAGAUGGGCAUCUAUUUGUAAUUAAAGAUUUAUCGGUAUAGGAUGGGCAUGCGUCCCAUUAGUUAGUUGGUAAGGUAACGGCUUACCAAGACGAUGAUGGGUAGGGGAUCUGAGAGGACUUACCCCCACACUGGUACUGAGACACGGACCAGACUCCUACGGGAGGCAGCAGUAAGGAAUAUUGGGCAAUGGCCGCGAGGCUGACCCAGCCAUGCCGCGUGCAGGAAGACGGCCUUAUGGGUUGUAAACUGCUUUUAUACGGGAAUAAUAGAGUGUACGCGUACAUUUAUGCAAGUAUCGUAUGAAUAAGCAUCGGCUAACUCCGUG
rnacentral:rRNA from 1 species